rnacentral:rRNA from 1 species
UGUAAGCGUAUACCAAAGUUGUUGCAGUUAAAACGCUCGUAGUCGGACUUUGGCAGUUCCGGAUGUGUGCACGUCGUGUGCGCACUUCGCGGGGAUUGCUUUUGUGGUCUUGCGUAGGAUGAGGCACUUUUAUUAGUGAACGUCCUCACGCAACCACUUUUUACUGUGAGAAAAUCAGAGUGCUCAAAGCAGGCAUUUGCCGUGAAUGUACUAGCAUGGAAUAAUAGAAUAGGACUUGGUUCUAUUUUGUUGGUUUGUUGGGACUGAGUAAUGAUUAAGAGGGACAGUUGGGGGCAUUUGUAUUUCGGUGCUAGAGGUGAAAUUCUUAGAUUACCGAAAGACAAACUGCUGCGAAAGCGUCUGCCAAGGAUGUUUUCAUUGA